AUACGUAGGGAGCGAGCGUUGUCCGGAAUUACUGGGUGUAAAGGGAGCGUAGGCGGGACUGCAAGUCAGAUGUGAAAUACCGGGGCUUAACCCCGGAGCUGCAUUUGAAACUGUGGUUCUUGAGUGAAGUAGAGGCAAGCGGAAUUCCUGGGGUAGCGGUGAAAUGCGUAGAUAUCAGGAGGAACACCGGUGGCGAAGGCGGCUUGCUGGGCUUUUACUGACGCUGAGGCUCGAAAGCGUGGGUAGCAAACAGGAUUAGAUACCCUGGUAGUCCACGCUGUAAACGAUGAUUACUAGGUGUGGGGGGACUGACCCCUUCCGUGCCGCAGUUAACACAAUAAGUAAUCCACCUGGGGAGUACGGCCGCAAGGUUGAAACUCAAAGGAAUUGACGGGG
rnacentral:rRNA from 1 species